CGCUAUCACUCCUACGGGGAGGCAGCAGUGGGGGAAUAUUGCACAAUGGGCGCAAGCCUGAUGCAGCCAUGCCGCGUGUGUGAAGAAGGACCUUCGGGUUGUAAAGCACUUUCAGUCGUGAGGAAGGUAGUGUAGUUAAUAGCUGCAUUAUUUGACGUUAGCGACAGAAGAAGACACCGGCUAACUCCGUGCCAGCAGCCGCGGUAAUACGGAGGGUGCGAGCGUUAAUCGGAAUUACUGGGCGUAAAGCGCAUGCAGGUGGUUUGUUAAGUCAGAUGUGAGAGCCCGGGGCUCAACCUCGGAAUAGCAUUUGAAACUGGCAGACUAGAGUACUGUAGAGGGGGGUAGGAAUUUCAGGUGUAGCGGUGAAAAUGCGUAGAGAUCUGAAGGAAUACCGGUGGCGAAGGCGGCCCCCUGGACAGAUACUGACACUCAGAUGCGAAAGCGUGGGGAGCAAACAGGAUUAGAUACCCUGGUAG
rnacentral:rRNA from 1 species